AUGUGGCUUGAGACACUCACCAAGGAGUCUGCGCUGUGCUGGGUUUUCCUGGUUGCUCUGUUAACAGGUGUCCAGUGUGAGGUGCAGCUGGUGGAGUCUGGGGGAGGUCUGGUCCAGCCUGGGGGGUCCCUGAGACUCUCCUGUGCAGCCUCGGGAUUCACUUUUGAUGACUAUGCCAUGGAGUGGGUCCGCCAGACUCCAGCGAAGGGGCUGGAGUGGGUCUCUCAUAUUAGCUGGAACGGUGCUAGCACAUACUACGCAGACUCCAUGAAGGGCCGGUUCACCAUCUGCAGAGACAACAGCAAUAACAUGCUGUAUCUGCAAAUGAACAGUCUGAGAGCUGAGGACAUGGCCAUGUACUACUGAGCAAGAGACACAGUGAGGGGUGCCAUUGUGAGCCCAGACACAAACCUUCUGUGGGGUCUCAUAGGGCCACUAGGGGGCAGGCAGGACACAGGAAGCAGAGUCAGGCCCAGGGCAAGUGUAGAUAGAGUGAGGUUAAUGUCAGGUGCACAGGAGGUUAAGGUCCACUUUCCAGGGAAAACCUAAGUCUCCCUCUGUAUCUUACAGUUUCCCCUGGAAGCCUGUCUAUAUUUAAAAUUCUGUGCCUACCAAUGAUGUCUGUGAACUUGAAAAUAUUCUUAUAUGAGGAUAAAUCAUUCUCAUAUGCCACCAAAUUAUUUACCAUUCAUGCAGGCAGAAGAACGCACAGGAGUCAGGUGAGGUUGUGGAAACUGUCUGCCCAGGAUGCA